AUUGAACGCUGGCGGAAUGCUUUACACAUGCAAGUCGAACGGUAGAGGGGGCAACCCCCUUGAGAGUGGCGAACGGGUGAGUAAUAUAUCGGAACGUGCCCAGUCGUGGGGGAUAACGUAGUGAAAAUUACGCUAAUACCGCAUACGAUCUAAGGAUGAAAGCGGGGGAUCGCAAGACCUCGCGCGAUUGGAGCGGCCGAUAUCAGAUUAGGUAGUUGGUAGGGUAAAGGCCUACCAAGCCAACGAUCUGUAGCUGGUCUGAGAGGACGACCAGCCACACUGGAACUGAGACACGGUCCAGACUCCUACGGGAGGCAGCAGUGGGGAAUUUUGGACAAUGGGCGAAAGCCUGAUCCAGCCAUUCCGCGUGCAGGAUGAAGGCCCUCGGGUUGUAAACUGCUUUGUACAGAACGAAAAGGUCUCUAUUAAUACUAGGGCUCAUGACGGUACUGUAAGAAUAAGCACCGGCUAACUACGUG
rnacentral:rRNA from 1 species